rnacentral:rRNA from 1 species
AGCAGCCGCGGUAAUUCCAGCUCCAAUAGCGUAUAUUAAAGUUGUUGCAGUUAAAAAGCUCGUAGUUGAAUUUCGGGGUCUGUCCAUUGGUCGGGCUUUACGGUCCGUACUGGUGAGAUGGGUUCCUACCUUCUGAAUAACCGGCAUGCCAUUCAGUUGGUGCGCCGGGGAAGCAGAGCUAUUACCUUGAAAAAAUUAGAGUGCUUAAAGCAGGCUAUUGCUUGAAUAGAUUAGCAUGGAAUAAUAAAAUAGGACGGCAUGGUUCUAUUUUGUUGGUUUCUAGGAUCACCGUAAUGAUUAAUAGGGAUAGUUGGGGGCAUUAGUAUUCAAUUGUCAGAGGUGAAAUUCUUGGAUUUAUUGAAGACUAACUUCUGCGAAAGCAUUUGCCAAGGAUGUUUUCAUUAAUCAAGAACGAAAGUUAGGGGAUCGAAGACGAUCAGAUACCGUCGUAGUCUUAACCAUAAACUAUGCCGACUAGGGAUCGGACGAUGUUAAUUUUUUAAUGACUCGUUCGCGCCUU